rnacentral:rRNA from 1 species
UACCGCAAACCGACACUGGUGCGCGAGAUGAGUAUUCUAAGGCGCUUGAGAGAACUCGGGAGAAGGAACUCGGCAAAUUGGUACCGUAACUUCGGGAUAAGGUACGCCCUAGUAGUUUGACCACUUUACUGUGGAAGGAUGAACGGGUUGCAAUAAAAUGGUGGCUGCGACUGUUUAAUAAAAACACAGCACUCUGCAAACACGAAAG